GAGUUUGAUCCUGGCUCAGGAUGAACGCUAGCGGCAGGCUUAACACAUGCAAGUCGAACGGUAACAGAGAAAGCUUGCUUUUUGCUGACGAGUGGCGAACGGGUGCGUAACGCGUAUGCAACCUACCUUCUUCUAAGGAAUAGCCCGGAGAAAUUUGGAUUAAUACCUUAUGAUAAUAUUUAUUCGCAUGUUUAAAUAUUUAAAACUCCGGUGGAAGAAGAUGGGCAUGCGUAACAUUAGUUUGUUGGUGAGGUAAUGGCUCACCAAGACUACGAUGUUUAGGGGGUCUGAGAGGAUGAUCCCCCACACUGGUACUGAGACACGGACCAGACUCCUACGGGAGGCAGCAGUGAGGAAUAUUGGUCAAUGGACGAAAGUCUGAACCAGCCAUGCCGCGUGAAGGAUGACGGCCCUACGGGUUGUAAACUUCUUUUGUAUAGGAAGAAACCCCUCUACGUGUAGAGGGUUGACGGUACUAUUCGAAUAAGCACCGGCUAACUCCGUGCCAGCAGCCGCGGUAAUACGGAGGGUGCGAGCGUUAUCCGGAAUUAUUGGGUUUAAAGGGUGCGUAGGCGGAAAUUUAAGUCAGUGGUGAAAGCCUGCAGCUUAACUGUAGAAUUGCCAUUGAUACUGGAUUUCUUGAAUCUAAUAGAAGUAGGCGGAAUAUGACAUGUAGCGGUGAAAUGCUUAGAUAUGUCAUAGAACACCGAUAGCGAAGGCAGCUUACUAUGUUAGUAUUGACGCUAAUGCACGAWAGCGUGGGGAGCGAACAGGAUUAGAUACCCUGGUAGUCCACGCCGUAAACGAUGAUUACUCGCUAUUGGCGAUACACUGUCAGUGGCUAAGCGAAAGUGAUAAGUAAUCCACCUGGGGAGUACGAUCGCUAGGUUGAAACUCAAAGGAAUUGACGGGGGCCCGCACAAGCGUUGGAGCAUGUGGUUUAAUUCGAUGAUACGCGAGGAACCUUACCAGGUCUUAAAUGCAUAACGAUCGAUUGGGAAACCAAUCUUUCUUCGGACGGGAUGCAAGGUG
rnacentral:rRNA from 1 species